GGCUAAGUUUGUUGUGAUAUGGAACGAUAUUGAGCGGGACAUCCCUAAAGUCGUUCUCAUGAGUAACCAAUGUCAAUUCCACUCGAGUUUAUACGAGAGACAGAAAACAAGAUCAUAACCCGAUUCAAGCCGCGACCACAAAUAGAGACUGACUGUGUGUUCAUUCUGGACGAUGAUCGAUGGAUCACUGACUUAACUGCAUGACCUCACUUUCGCUUUCAACGUUCGGAGAAUAGAUAUCGUAUUGUCGGCUUUAAUGAAUGCAAAAGGUCCCACAGUCGCAACUCUCAGGGGCAGUAUACUUACAAAUAGCCGGUUACAGAAAUGGUGCGUCUAUCAUGAUGACGCGGCAACAGGAUUUCUGCACAGGGCAUACCUCGAUAUGUACUUUGACCCUGGGGCCUUGCUACCAGCAGGCAUGAUGGAAGAUAAGGAUUGGACUAUAAUGUAUUGCGAUGACAUUCUCAUGAACUGCGUGGUUGAACGUUUCCUGGAACUGGUCUCGUGGCCGCAGCCAAGUCUAGUGGUGGUCAAGGGAAAGAGUGCCAUUGGGAGCAUAGAAGGAGAAGCAGGUCGUAUGGGUUGUCCUACCUGCAUACAUAGAAGAGGGCUAUAUACAACCCACCGUUUGUAAAGCAUAAUAAUCUUGUGUUGUGUACGUAGAAAGACUAAUUUUAUCCCCUUCCCGAAAAAAUAAAGCAAAAUAAUUGUAGCAUUAUAAUUUAUGUGUGUCUGAAGUUAAACUAUGAUUUUACCCCCCGGCCCCCUCUCCCCACACACAGCCAGGGCAGGAGAUCACCCUGGGCUGCAUACGCUACGACCUGACCACCACAAACAAAGAUACCAAGGAGAUAAUUAACAUCAGUAUAUACUUCCGUCAGCCCUAUACAAGUUUAAAUUAAACCAUGAAUAUAUAUAUAUAUAUAUAGAUCUCAAAAUUGUACAUGCAUGAUGCUGUUUGGAAUGUGGGAUAGUUCCUCUUGUUUCAACCUACAUUCUAUAUAAGCACCACUCUAUAAAUCACUGUGGUGUUCUUCGGUGUAUGCUAUAGGUUGUGCUCUUUAUAAUAAUUAUAUAGACAUCACCAUAUAUAUGCACUAUUAAUCUCGCGCUUUUAUUCUCAGUAUAAACCACACAAAUUUAACAUACUACUGACUCGAACCAUU